GCCUGGGUGGCUCAGUCGGUUGAGCAUCUGACUUUGACUCAGGUCAUGAUCUUGCAGUUUGUGAGUUCGAGCCCCGCGUCGGGCU
rnacentral:tRNA from 1 species